CUUCCUGGUGUUGUUGGGAGGUCAUACCUGCUCACUGAAUUAAUUAAAGAGCUGCAGUAAUUUGACUGUACAAAGGUAGCAUAAUCAUUAGUUUCUUAAUUGGGAACUGGAAUGAAUGGUUUGACGAAAUAAUAACUGUCUCGUGAUUAAUAUUUGAAUUUUAUUUUUAAGUUAAAAAGCUUAAAUUUUGGUAGGGGACGAGAAGACCCUAUAGAUCUUUAUAUUUUAUUUUAUUUUGAAGGUUUAGUUAAUUAAUUGAUAUUGAAUAUAGAGUAUUUUAUUGGGGUGAUAGAGGAAUAAUAGAACUUCUUAGAUUUGGAUUUUGAUGAUUAGUUAAGUGGUCCUUUUAUUUGGGAAAAAGAUUAAGAUACCUUAGGGAUAACAGCGUUAUUUUCUUUAUAAGAUCUUAUUAAUAAGGAAGAUUGCGACCUCGAUGUUGGAUUAAGAUAAUAAAUUGGUGUAAAAGUUAGUUUUGGUUGGUCUGUUC
rnacentral:rRNA from 1 species